rnacentral:rRNA from 1 species
GAUGAACGCUGGCGGCGUGCCUAAUACAUGCAAGUCGAGCGAACAGAUGAGGAGCUUGCUCCUCUGACGUUAGCGGCGGACGGGUGAGUAACACGUGGAUAACCUACCUAUAAGACUGGGAUAACUUCGGGAAACCGGAGCUAAUACCGGAUAAUAUAUUGAACCGCAUGGUUCAAUAGUGAAAGACGGUGUUGCUGUCACUUAUAGAUGGAUCCGCGCCGCAUUAGCUAGUUGGUAAGGUAACGGCUUACCAAGGCAACGAUGCGUAGCCGACCUGAGAGGGUGAUCGGCCACACUGGAACUGAGACACGGUCCAGACUCCUACGGGAGGCAGCAGUAGGGAAUCUUCCGCAAUGGGCGAAAGCUUGACGGAGCAACGCCGCGUGAGUGAUGAAGGUCUUCGGAUCGUAAAACUCUGUUAUUAGGGAAGAACAAAUGUGUAAGUAACUAUGCACGUCUUGACGGUACCUAAUCAGAAAGCCACGGCUAACUACGUG